AAGGACUGCCAGGACUCGAAGUCUCCGGCUUGAGUUUGAGUUUCAGUUUUAGGUUGGCUGCGGAAGGGGGAAUAGGUUGAACGGGCGUUGAUGAGGAAUAAAACUUGCCAGGAGAAGGGACACCAGCUCACUCACAUACUCGUCGUGCGUGUAUGUGUGCGUAUUUGUAUGGUUACGAGGGGGGAAAGGACAUCAGCAAAGGACGAGCGGACGAACGGAAGCAACAAGAGGGCAAACAAUUUCUUCCUUUUGGCAUGAAAGUUGAGAGAAAACUUGACCUUAAAAGAAAAUUACAUGCUCGUGUGUGUGUGUGUGUGGGUGUGU
ensembl:ncRNA lncRNA:CR44565 long non-coding RNA:CR44565